CAAAACCCGGACGCCAAAUUCGUCCGCAGGCUGAUGUUCUUCUUCUUCGCCAUCGUCUUUUAUGUUGCAUUGAAUAUACUCUGUUUUGGACCGUUUUUUACAGGUGCAUCAAUUAUUUCGAGUAUUUUUAAGGAUCAAACAUGGCCGUUUGGGGAGAGGGCCACAAUGGUACUAGCGAUAUUUGUUGUUGCCGUUGUCAUUGGAGUAUUUGUGACGAAGACGCCGGUGGUGACGACGACGACGAACACCGAUUCAGCACCGCAAAGGGGAGAGGAAGAGGAAACAACCUCAGCGCCCGUCGAACAGGUUCAAUUAAACACUGCGUAGCUGUUUCUGCCAUGACAACAGGGCUGGACUUUUGUGAUUUGCAAUUAAAUGACACAUAAGGGAGCUGGAGAUGGAUUGUA